GGUGUACAGGGAGCAUGGUGCCAGCAUCUGCUUCUGAUGAGGCCUCAGGAAGCUUCCAAUCAUGGCAAAACGUGAAGUGGGAGCAGACACAUCACAUGAUGCUGACAUCUUUCGAGAUGAUUGAUUCAUCCCUGACAAGAGAAGACUCUCAGGGGGUUCCAGCUGCCCACCGCUCAGACAAUACCGAUUUGCAGGUGCUGACGCCAAUCCCGCCAGUUUGAUUUGGACGUAGCAGGGUCUCACUCUGUUGCCCAUGCUGGAAUGCACUGGCCUG
rnacentral:lncRNA from 1 species